rnacentral:rRNA from 1 species
UAUUGCACAAUGGGGGAAACCCUGAUGCAGCGACGCCGCGUGAGUGAAGAAGUAUUUCGGUAUGUAAAGCUCUAUCAGCAGGGAAGAAGAAAUGACGGUACCUGACUAAGAAGCCCCGGCUAACUACGUCCCAGCAGCCGCGGUAACACGUAGGGGGCAAGCGUUACCCGGAUUUACUGGGUGUAAAGGGCGCGUAGACGGUAAGGCAAGUCAGAUGUGAAAGCCCGGGGCUCAACCGCGGGACUGCAUUGGAAACUGUCCUACUGGAGUGCAGGAGAGGUAAGUGGAAUUCCUAGUGUAGCGGUGAAAUGCGUAGAUAUUAGGAGGAACACCAGUGGCGAAGGCGGCUUACUGGACUGUAACUGACGUUGAGGCUCGAAAGCGUGGGGAGCAAACA